rnacentral:rRNA from 1 species
AGAGUUUGAUCCUGGCUCAGAACGAACGCUGGCGGCAGGCCUAACACAUGCAAGUCGAACGCUCCAGCAAUGGAGAGUGGCAGACGGGUGAGUAACACGUGGGAACCUUCCCUUUGGUUCGGAAUAGCCCAGGGAAACUUGGGGUAAUACCGAAUAAGCCCUUACGGGGAAAGAUUUAUCGCCGAAGGAUGGGCCCGCGUCGGAUUAGCUAGUUGGUGGGGUAACGGCCUACCAAGGCGACGAUCCGUAGCUGGUCUGAGAGGAUGAUCAGCCACACUGGGACUGAGACACGGCCCAGACUCCUACGGGAGGCAGCAGUGGGGAAUAUUGGACAAUGGGCGCAAGCCUGAUCCAGCCAUGCCGCGUGAGUGACGAAGGUCUUCGGAUUGUAAAGCUCUUUUGGCGGGGACGAUAAUGACGUACCCGCAGAAUAGCC